rnacentral:rRNA from 1 species
UACGGGGGGGGCAAGCGUUGUUCGGAAUUACUGGGCGUAAAGGGCUCGUAGGCGGCCAACUAAGUCAGACGUGAAAUCCCUCGGCUUAACCGGGGAACUGCCUCUGAUACUGGAUGGCUUGAGAUUGGGAGAGGGAUGCGGAAUUCCAGGUGUAGCGGUGAAAUGCGUAGAUAUUCGGAGGAACACCAGUGGCGAAGGCGGCUCACUGGUCCGGUACUGACGCUGAGGUGCGAAAGCGUGGGGAGCAAACAGG